rnacentral:lncRNA from 1 species
AUAAUCCUAAACCCAUUUUUCUGAUUUAUGGAGUUCAUCAUAAUCAUUACUAAAGUAAGAUGCAGCAUAUGAUGAAAAAUAUCUUUUAUUAUUUGAAGAGUCAAUACAUAAGUCUGGAAGAUUACAAAGAAAACCCAUCAAAAUAUAAAUUUUGAUUAGCUUGUAGGGCAUAUUCCUUUUAGCGUGCGCCCCAAGUGGAUAAGGAUAGAGUCCCAUG